rnacentral:rRNA from 1 species
UACGAAGGGGGCGAGCGUUGUUCGGAGUUACUGGGCGUAAAGGGCGCGUAGGCGGCGCUCCAAGUUAGGCGUGAAAGCCCCGGGCUCAACCUGGGAAUAGCGCUUAAGACUGGAGUGCUCGAGUGCGGAAGAGGUGAGUGGAAUUCCCAGUGUAGAGGUGAAAUUCGUAGAUAUUGGGAAGAACACCAGUGGCGAGGGCGGCUCACUGGUCCGCAACUGACGCUGAGGCGCGAAAGCGUGGGGAGCAAACAGG